rnacentral:rRNA from 1 species
GACGAACGCUGGCGGCGUGCCUAAUACAUGCAAGUCGAACGCAGUGGGGACGGGUGAGUAACCCGUGGGUAACCUCCCAUCAGAGGGGAUAACACUUGGAAACAGGUGCUAAACCGAUACUGAUGUCUGGACCCGCGUUGCAUUAGCUAGUUGGUGCGGUAACGGCUCACCAAGGCCACGAUGCAGAGCUGACCUGAUAGGUGGAUCGGCCAAACGGUGACUGAGACAGGGCCCAGACUCCUACGGGAGGCAGCAGUAGGGAAUCUUCGGCAAUGGACGAAAGUCUGACCGAGCAACGCAGCGUGAGUGAAGAAGGUUUUCGGAUCGUAAAACUCUGUUGUUAGAGAAGCGGUAUCUAACCAGAAAGCCACGGCUAACUACGUGCCAGCAGCCGCGGUAAUGC